CGCGGCCUAUCAGCUUGUUGGUGAGGUAAUGGCUCACCAAGGCUUCGACGGGUAGCCGGCCUGAGAGGGCGACCGGCCACACUGGGACUGAGAUACGGCCCAGACUCCUACGGGAGGCAGCAGUGGGGAAUAUUGCACAAUGGGCGCAAGCCUGAUGCAGCAACGCCGCGUGCGGGAUGACGGCCUUCGGGUUGUAAACCGCUUUCAGUAGGGACGAAGCUAACGUGACGGUACCUACAGAAGAAGGACCGGCUAACUACGUGCCAGCAGCCGCGGUGAUACGUAGGGUCCGAGCGUUGUCCGGAAUUAUUGGGCGUAAAGGGCUUGUAGGCGGUCCGUCGCGUCAGGAGUGAAAACUCGGGGCUUACCCCGAGCCUGCUUUUGAUACGGGCGGACUAGAGGGAUGCAGGGGAGAACGGAAUUCCUGGUGGAGCGGUGGAAUGCGCAGAUAUCAGGAGGAACACCGGUGGCGAAGGCGGUUCUCUGGGCAUCACCUGACGCUGAGAAGCGAAAGCGUGGGGAGCAAACAGGCUUAGAUACCCUGGUAGUCCACGCCGUAAACGGUGGGCACUAGGUGUGGGGGACAUUCCACGUUCUCCGUGCCGAAGCUAACGCAUUAAGUGCCCCGCCUGGGGAGUACGG
rnacentral:rRNA from 1 species